rnacentral:rRNA from 1 species
UAACACGUGGGUAACCUGCCUGUAAGACUGGGAUAACUCCGGGAAACCGGGGCUAAUACCGGAUGGUUGUCUGAACCGCAUGGUUCAAACAUAAAAGGUGGCUUCGGCUACCACUUACAGAUGGACCCGCGGCGCAUUAGCUAGUUGGUGAGGUAACGGCUCACCAAGGCGACGAUGCGUAGCCGACCUGAGAGGGUGAUCGGCCACACUGGGACUGAGACACGGCCCACACUCCUACGGGAGGCAGCAGUAGGGAAUCUUCCGCAAUGGACGAAAGUCUGACGGAGCAACGCCGCGUGAGUGAUGAAGGUUUUCGCAUCGUAAAGCUCUGUUGUUAGGGAAGAACAAGUGCCGUUCAAAUAGGGCGGCAC